CUAGAAGAAGGAAACACAUUAAACAUUGCUGUUAAUAAUUACUUAUUGACAGUAAAAAGAGUAACAGGUGAAGAUUUUUGGAUUCAUUCUAAAAUUUUUUAUAUAUUGAGUUUGGAUGUUAGAUAUAACCUCAUAAGUGAUGUUGGCACAUAUUAUAGUGUAAAACUACUUCAGAAAUAACUUAAUCUCAUUUACUUAAACCUUAUGUUUGAUGAUACUGGGCCUGAAGGAGGAGAAUUUUUCUUUCAAGGUGGAGAAUUGAUUGGCAAAGCACUAAAUGAGAACACAACUCUGAAAUACCUAAGAAUGACUGGAAACAAGAUUAAAAAUAAGAGUGGAAUAUUUUUUGCUGCAAUGCUGCAAAUUAAUUCAUCCUUAGAGAAAGUAGGUCUGGGUUACUGUGAUCUGGGAAUGCAAAGUGUGAUAGCAUUUGCUACGAUACUAACUCAAAACAAAGCAAUUAAGGGAAUAAACCUAAACUGACCUAUGCAGUAUGGCAAACAGAAAGAGUCCACAGCCCACGUAGGCCAUAUGUUGAAAGAAAAUAACUGCCUUGUUCAACUACACAUGUGUAAGCAUAAUAUAAAAAACUGUAGUAUACAACAAUUAUAUGUUAUUCAAUGUAUCUUAACAGUAGCCUAUGCUACCUUGAUGUCAGCUGCAAUCAAAUAUCUCAGGAUGGAAUUAUGUAUCUAGCUCAUGUAAAAGCAAUAUUACCCUAGAAGCAGUAGAUUUUUCUUUUAACAGAAUAGAAAAUGCAGGAGCUAAGUAUCUCCAAGAAAUUCUUACUUUACACAAUGGGCAUUUUAAAGCAUUGUCAGUAGUCAGCAACAACAUAGAGAAGGACUUGCACUUUCACAAUCAAUGAAAACGAAUCCCACAUUUUCUAAUAUCUACAUUUGGAGAAACAAAUUU
rnacentral:lncRNA from 1 species